rnacentral:tRNA from 1 species
GGGAAUGUGGCUUAGUGGUAGAGUGCUUGCCUAGCAUGCAUGAAUCCCUAGGUUCGAUUCCUCAGUACCA